rnacentral:rRNA from 1 species
UCGUAGGGUAACUUGGGACUUAGUGGCGGAGUAGGGUUAGUAAUACAUGAAUAACCUACCUUUAACCUGGGGAUAACGGCUGGAAACGGCCGCUAAUACCGAAUGAGGUGAGCGAAGGGAAUCCUUUGCGCAUCAAAGUAGGGGACCGUGAAAGCGGCCUUGCGGUUGAAGAGGGGUUCAUGGGAUAUCAGCUAGUUGGUGUGGUAAUGGCAUACCAAGGCUAAGACGUCUAGGCGGGUUGAGAGAUUGGCCGCCAACACUGGGACUGAGACACUGCCCAGACUCCUACGGGAGGCUGCAGUCGAGAAUCUUUCGCAAUGGGCGCAAGCCUGACGAAGCGACGCCGUGUGGACGAUGAAGGCCUUCGGGUUGUAAAGUCCUUUCGCUUGGGAACAAGAGAAGUCAACGAAUAAUUGGCUGAUUUGAGGGUACCAGGUAAAGAAGCACCGGCUAAUUCCGUGCCAGCAGCUGCGGUAAUACGGAAGGUGCAAGCAUUAAUCGGAUUUAUUGGGCGUAAAGAGUGCGUAGGCGGGAUUAUAAGUCAGACGUGAAAGCCCGGAGCUUAACUCCGGAAUAGCAUCUGAAACUCCAGAUCUUGAGGAAUGGCGGAGAAAACGGAAUUCCACGUGGAGCGGUGAAAUGCGUGGAUAUGUGGAAGAACACCCGUGGCGAAAGCGGUUUUCUAGUUUAUUCCUGACGCUGAGGCGCGAGAGCAAGGGGAGCAAACAGGAUUAGAUACCCUGGUAGUCCUUGCCGUAAACGAUGUAUACUUGAUGUAGGUAGGCUCAACCCCGACUGUGUCGUAGCUAACGCGAUAAGUAUACCGCCUGAGGAGUACGCUCGCAAGGGUGAAACUCAAAAGAAUUGACGGGGGCCCGCACAAGCAGUGGAGCAUGGGGUUUAAUUCGAUGCAACGCGAAGAACCUUACCCAGACUUGACAUAUAGUGGACCGUCAUAGAAAUGGUAUUUCUCGUUCGGGCCGCUACACAGGUGCUGCAUGGCUGUCGUCAGCUCGUGCCGUGAGGUGUUUGGUUAAGUCCAGCAACGAGCGCAACCCUUAUCAUUAGUUGCCAACACGUAAUGGUGGGAACUCUAGUGAGACUGCCUGGGUUAACCAGGAGGAAGGUGAGGAUGACGUCAAGUCAGCAUGGCCCUUAUGUCUGGGGCUACACACGUGCUACAAUGGCCGGUACAGAAGGCAGCAAAGCCGCGAGGUGGAGCAAAUCCGUAAAACCGGUCCCAGUUCAGAUUGUAGUCUGCAACUCGAUUACAUGAAGUUGGAAUUGCUAGUAAUGACGUGUCAGCAAUAACGUCGUGAAUACGUUCCCGGGCCUUGUACACACCGCCCGUCACAUCAUGGGAGUUGGUUUUACCCGAAGUCGC